GACGAACGCUGGCGGCGUGCUUAACACAUGCGAGUCGAACGGAAAGGCCCUGCUUGCAGGGUACUCGAGUGGCGAACGGGUGAGUAACACGUGGGUGAUCUGCCCUGCACUUCGGGAUAAGCCUGGGAAACUGGGUCUAAUACCGGAUAGGAGCCAUUUUUAGUGUGAUGGUUGGAAAGUUUUUUCGGUGUAGGAUGAGCUCGCGGCCUAUCAGCUUGUUGGUGGGGUAAUGGCCUACCAAGGCGGCGACGGGUAGCCGGCCUGGGAGGGUGGACGGCCACAUUGGGACUGAGAUACGGCCCAGACUCCUACGGGAGGCAGCAGUGGGGAAUAUUGCACAAUGGGCGCAAGCCUGAUGCAGCGACGCCGCGUGGGGGAUGACGGCCUUCGGGUUGUAAACUCCUUUCGCUAGGGACGAAGCUUUUUGUGACGGUACCUAGAUAAGAAGCACCGGCUAACUACGUG
rnacentral:rRNA from 1 species